rnacentral:misc_RNA from 1 species
UACGGUGAUCCUAGAAACCAACAAAAUAGAAUCAUGCCGUCCUAUUUUAUUAUUCCAUGCUAAUGUAUUCAAGCAAAAUGCCUGCUUUAAACACUCUAAUUUUUUCAAAGUAAAGGUCCUGGUUCCUCGCGGCACCCAAUUAAGGACAUCGCGGUUCUCCAGAAGGUGAGAAAUUGACUACGCCAGUUCAUACCCCUUAAGGCACG